rnacentral:rRNA from 1 species
UACAGAGGGUGCAAGCGUUGUUCGGAAUUAUUGGGCGUAAAGGGUGCGUAGGCGGCAUGAUAAGUUAUUGGCGGCAAAUCGAGGCUCAACCUCGUGGAAACUGAUAAUACUGUCUUGCUUGAGUGCAGAAGAGGUUAACGGAACUCCAUGUGGAGCGGUAAAAUGUGUAGAUAUAUGGAAGAACAUCAAUAACGGCGAAGGCAGUUAACUAUUCUGUUACUGACGUUGAGGCACGAAAGCGUGGGGGAGCAAAAAAGG